AACUGAAGGGAGCUACACAAGUUUCGGAUGAUAGCAGAUAUUAUGAAUUGUAUCGUUAUACCAUUACAGUACUUACUCAAAAUAAUUAUAUGCCGGCUUCAUAUAUUAGUAAAUACUCUGUCCUCUUCUCCUUAACAAGUGACUUGUUACUCAUACUCGAAAUAAUUGAUCGGGAUGGAAAAGGCUACACAAAACACCGCUAAAUUUACCUUAAAACGUGAGUAUAGUAAGAUGCAAGAAGUUCAAAAAAUUAGCAUUGAAAUACUCACCUCUCGGUAAAUCACUUAAAAGUCCCCAAUCUCUAAUUGCCAGAAAAGAAUAACGUUGCAACCAUUCUCCUGUUUGUUUAUCAACUACUCAAUACGAUUGUACAAAGCUAACUAAUUCUGUCGUUUGACUUCCGCUAGUACUCUUAAAUCACUCUGGACAUCAAUUCCUAUAA